UACGAAGGUGGCGAAUGAUACUCGGAUUCACUGGGCGUAAAGCGUCCGCAGGUGGUUAAACAAGUCAGAUGUGAAAGCCCCGAGCUCAACUUGGGAACUGCAUUUGAAACUGUUUGACUAGAAGGUAAGAGAGGCUGGUAGAAUUCUCGGUGUAGAGGUGAAAUUCGUAGAUAUCGAGAGGAAUACCCAUGGCGAAGGCAGCCAGCUGGCUUAUUCUUGACACUCAUGGACGAAAGCGUGGGGAGCAAACAGGAUUAGAUACCCUGGUAGUCCACGCCCUAAACGAUGCAUGCUCGCUGUCGGGUCCGAUACAGGCCUCGGUGGCUCAGCUAACGCGGUAAGCAUGCCGCCUGGGGAUUACGGCCGCAAGGUUAAA
rnacentral:rRNA from 1 species